rnacentral:rRNA from 1 species
CUUCGGUGGGGAUUAGUGGCGAACGGGUGAGUAACACGUGGGCAAUCUGCCCUUCACUCUGGGACAAGCCCUGGAAACGGGGUCUAAUACCGGAUACCACUACCGCAGGCAUCUGUGGUGGUUGAAAGCUCCGGCGGUGAAGGAUGAGCCCGCGGCCUAUCAGCUUGUUGGUGAGGUAAUGGCUCACCAAGGCGACGACGGGUAGCCGGCCUGAGAGGGCGACCGGCCACACUGGGACUGAGACACGGCCCAGACUCCUACGGGAGGCAGCAGUGGGGAAUAUUGCACAAUGGGCGAAAGCCUGAUGCAGCGACGCCGCGUGAGGGAUGACGGCCUUCGGGUUGUAAACCUCUUUCAGCAGGGAAGAAGCGAAAGUGACGGUACCUGCAGAAGAAGCGCCGGCUAACUACGUGCCAGCAGCCGCGGUAAUACGUAGGGCGCAAGCGUUGUCCGGAAUUAUUGGGCGUAAAGAGCUCGUAGGCGGCUUGUCACGUCGGGUGUGAAAGCCCGGGGCUUAACCCCGGGUCUGCAUUCGAUACGGGCUAGCUAGAGUGUGGUAG